GAGUUUGAUCCUGGCUCAGGACGAACGCUGGCGGCGCGCCUAACACAUGCAAGUCGAACGAGAGAGAGGGAGCUUGCCUCCUUGAUCGAGUGGCGAACGGGUGAGUAACGCGUGAGGAACCUGCCUCAAAGAGGGGGACAACAGUUGGAAACGACUGCUAAUACCGCAUAAGCCCACGACCCGGCAUCGGGAAGAGGGAAAAGGAGCAAUCCGCUUUGAGAUGGCCUCGCGUCCGAUUAGCUAGUUGAUGAGGUAACGGCCCACCAAGGCGACGAUCGGUAGCCGGACUGAGAGGUUGAACGGCCACAUUGGGACUGAGACACGGCCCAGACUCCUACGGGAGGCAGCAGUGGGGAAUAUUGCACAAUGGGGGAAACCCUGAUGCAGCGACGCCGCGUGGAGGAAGAAGGUCUUCGGAUUGUAAACUCCUGUUGUUGGGGAAGAUAAUGACGGUACCCAACAAGGAAGUGACGGCUAACUACGUGCCAGCCGCCGCGGUAAUUC
rnacentral:rRNA from 1 species